rnacentral:lncRNA from 1 species
GGGAAUACCCUAACCCUGGGAACCGGGGCAUAUAAAUCCGCUUAUGGCAUUCACCCAAGCAUACAGAGACAGAUGGAAUGAAAGAAAGAAAAGGUAGCUCCGCAGCUCGCCCAGAAGAAGAAAGACCCGCCGCUAACGAUUUGGAAAUCCCUGGUGGGCUGGGCCUGAAAGACAAGUGUGUGUGGAUUUCCACAUCCUUGUCUUUACUUUAAGACACAACUCUUCUCUUUCUCGGUCAAAUGAAUUGCGAUAGUCUACCUUGAGUAGGACCAUAGGGAUCUUAUGUUUGUGGCGAAAGAUAAGUGGUUCUGUCACAACCGAGAAAGUUUCUAUGAGUGAGCGACCCUUGAUAAACGCCGAUUGAUACGUGUCAAUGUCAAUAAGUGGUUGAGUGUUGUUAAAGACAAUGUUUGUUCCUCUUCUUUGAAACGAUUUUCAUGAAUCUCGAGAUGAUACUGAUUGGCCUGAAAUCCUCGACGGUGUUGGCAUCUUUUUUCUUUGGGAGGAGAGUGAUGGAUGCCUGGGUUAGCCUCCAAACAUAAAGGCCAUUGCUAUGAAAGAGCUGCAAGAGAGAAAGCAGUUGCAGGUGGAUGAUGUCCCAGAAGGCUUGGAUUGCACAGAUUCUACCAGAGGAUGUUGAGAUGCUCCCAUUGCAACUCACUGAUGGAGAAGAACUGGAGAGCUCAGCUAGAGCUGGAGGAGGUGGUAGUACCUGUUCCCUACUGGUACCAGUGGUGGCUUGAUCACUUCAAAUUGGAGGGACUAUUGGGCCAAAUUCCCAUACUAUAAAAAAAGGUUUUCUUUUCUGAUAUAUCGGAGGUUUUGUGUGCAGAGGCCGCCAGGUUGAAGUUGGAUGUUGCUUUUGUAGUUCCCAGUAAAGGAUGAUGCUGGGUCUAUGAUGCAUUUUAUUUGGAUUUUGGCUGAUAGUUUUCGAUGAAGCCACAGAUUCUACUCUUGUCUGAGACCUGUUGGCUUCAUCCAGAGGGAGAUGUGUUCUAGGGUGCCAAAGUACUCUUCAGCUGAAGAACUCUCUUUGGGACAAGGGCAUCAUCAAAGCAAAGAAAUCAGAAGAAGAAGCAGUCAGUAAUGCAAUGCGAGACAAGUGUCAUGUAGCAAGGUGCCCGGAAUCUAUCGUAUAUUGUAUAUAGGGAUUUUGGAUUGCGAUUUCCUUUUGGGGAUCAGGCCGAUUUGAUGACAGGAAUUUCCUUGUUUGUUGCAGCCUAAGAUUGGGAUUGGCCUACUCUUCUUCUAUAACCGGGAUCUUACGACUCUCGUGCUUAAUAAGUUGGCACCUCGCAUCCUGCCAAAACCUAAUCCUCUUAUUCUCUAGCUAGAGUUGGUCUCCUUAAGAAGAUAUGAUACUUCUACUUUUGACACCGUUUUUUUCCUAUUUUUAAACUCCAAUUGAUAAAGCCACCUGGCGAGUAGGAAUAGUUUCGAGUUUCUGGUCUGUUUUCUUUUGAGAAUCAAACCUCUAAUGGGUUUUUGCUACCAGGAGAAGGGAAUGGCCAUUAUGAUGGGGUCUAUCUAAAUAGAGAGGAUCCUACAGGGCUGAUUACUCGAUCACUCCAUUGUGAUGACAAUCACACCCAUAUUCUUUAUUAUUUCUAAAUAUAGAUAACUGCCAUCUCCCGGCAUAAGAAGGACUGACACUAACGACAGCCCCUAUAAUAGUAGACAACACGUUUUAAAUCAGACUGGACUGAAUGAAGAAAGAUCUUUCCACACAAGAGUGGAAGGGAUCCUUUAGAAAUAGUUCUUAGCUCCAAUCAAGCUUUCUCUGAUGUCUAGGAUCGUUAGUGCUAUAGUGGAGACACUUUUCUCAAAUAAGAAUGGUGGUCACAUUCCCUUUCUGGUGGUAGUCAUUGAGGAUCUCAAAAACAGGGAUCGCAAAAACGUGUCAAUAAUGACAACGCUGGGCGAAGAGGCUAAAGAAGAAAAACCUGUAGAUUUGAAUGCCACUUCCUUUGCUAAGAUAGCUAGAUUUGGAUGUCCAUUCCAUAAGGUAUAGCUGCAUCUGACACUAAGUAGAAGUUACUAGCAGGAUAGACAGGAAGCUCUGAAGGAUGUACAAUGCUUGGAGGGACAGAAGUUUCCAGAGAAAUGGUGUCUUUUGAUGGGCAUUUGUAGAUGAUGGUUGAUACUGCAAACAAUGCCUUCUUGACAGCUCUAGCAUCACUAGUUAUCUAUUAAGCAUAAAGAUACAUUAAAGAUAACAAUUAGCGGAAUAUAAGAAACAAAGAAUAGAUAUUGAAUAAAGAAAAAAAAAGAGAAGAGCCUCAUAACUAUCCUAAUAUAGAUAAUACCACGUUCGCCUUGUUCUUUACGCCGAUCCAACUCGUGCUUUUUAGGAUGUAUUUCACACGGAAUCAAGGGAGGUGCGGGAUACGACCCAUAUCACAUUCCUGUGCCAUAGCUUGCAAAAUCAAAUAAAUCUAUCGAAGCUAGGGUGCCAGGCCUAUAAGAAUCAGAAGAACAAUCCACACUAAUGUAACCAUAAAGAAAUGGCGGCUCUAACAUAGAUUUUUCUCAAUAUGUCAUGUUGUUGAAAAAUCCUGUGGUACCAUGGGAUGAUCGGCACUUUAGUUUUAGUUAUUGAUUUAUGCAUCACGCAUUAACUAAUAUUUAUGGGGCUGGAGACUUCGCUAAAGCAUGCACAUAAAUAGAUGAAUGAGAGAUUACAAGGCAAGGAGAUACAGAUCUGGGGGUUGACUCAGAACUUGUACAUAGGUCAGCUCACUAAUGCUUAAUAACCAAUAAAUAGUCAAUCAAGAGAUAUGCACCAGCAAACAACAUUAUACUGAAAUAGUGUAUUAGGCGGCAAAUGGCACAGAAGAGUUUAGACGAUAGAUUCUCUACAACAGGUAGGGAUCGGGGGUUAUACGCUCUUUUCUAUAAACAAAGUAGGCUUGUGAUUGUCCGCAUCCAUCACUCAAUCAUGCAAUUCAAAGAAAUGGUUUACUUAUCUUCUUCUAAAGGAUGGAAUUGCUAGAUUGUCAGUAAUAUCAAUUGAGGAAGAAGCUAGCCCCACUUAAAUUCGAAAAGAAGACCUCUAUUGUGACAGAAGAUUCCUCGCCCACAGCAUCUCACUUAUUGAUUGUGACAUAGCUCUCUAUCUCCGCUCAUAAGAAGAUAGCGUUUCAUUCACUCGCUCUAGAAACCAUAGGAGCUACUAUUCCACAGUUUAUUAAGAAUGGGCACUCACUGGAUUCAGGCUUCCACCGUUCUAGCUUCUCUUCGUAGUUCACUAGAAUGUAUCGAGCAUGUUUAUCCGGAUCAGGAGGCUUUACAUAAAUUGCUACGAUUGCCAAGUCGAAAAAGAACUGGGCAUGAAAGUGAAAGUGGAAAGAGAAGGGAGCGUGAUUUGUUUCAAGAAUUGGAUGCCCUUGUUAAGGAAAUCUAGUAUGAAAGGAGAAAUUGGGCCUAUUUAUAACUUUUGGUACCUAACCACCUGAACUGGGAAUAAUGGCUAAAGAUUGAAGGUUCUAAGCCAUGUAUCAGAGCCGGUUAUUUGAGUAUCGAUGCUGUUGGAGUCUAGCUUCCGACCAAUCCACUUCACUUCGGAGGACAUAACAGCUUAAGAAGAAAUCGAGAUCAGGCCCGUGGAAAGCACAGACACACGCCUGGGGAAUGAAUCCACUUUUGCAUUCUCAAUACUAGGGGGGGCUUCUCCGAUUGAUUGCUUUAACUGUUAUUCCCCAGAUUGGCGAAAUGACAUUUCGUCUGGCUUCCAUAAAAUAAUAAAAUGUGCUUUCGCCAGAAGAAGAAAAAAGAAGAUAGCUCAGUAAAUGGCAUUCAAGUAAAGUCGAGAAAAAGGCCUUGCUUUCGCACAGGAAGGAAAGAAUUGACUCGGGUAAGUAAGCCCUAUUGGGGGAUUAAGGGCUCGAGUACGAUUAGAGCGCCUUUUUUUCUGCUGCGCAGGCUGACCAUUUUAAAUAGGGGGAAACAGGAGACUGUAGAAGAUGAAUAUGGCUAGUCUACUGCUACUGUUUGAUUGGCAAUCCUUAGACUAUAGGGAUGAAGAAAAGGAGCAUAACCUACCUGCAACUAUGCUUUAAAGCAAAGAAAUCUAUCGAAAUUCUCAUUCCAGUCUGAGGGGAUAUCUGAAGCUACCGAUCCGGGAUCUCACUCAAAUCCAAACCUAGCACUUUUGUAUUUAUUGCUUCUCCUUUUAGAAGGUCCGUAGCCGAGUAGAAGAGAAGAAAAGAGAUUUCCUUAUCUGCAUGCCAGCUUUCAUUCCUACUUUUGAGGCAAGGGCAGUUGCUGCCGACAAGUCGACUAAACUUUCACAACUGUCACCUAUCUUUAAGCACCUUCUAGGCCGGUUCCCAACCUAAUGCAUUCAAGUCUGCCUUCGGUACUAGUACUUCGGAAUCAAGGGCCCAACAAGCGAUAUCAGGAGUCUUUGGCCGAAGAACUCGCGGAUAAGAAGGUUAUUCCAUAACUAUAUAAAAUCCAUAGUCACGCUCAGCAUGCGAAAGCUUGUAAAAAUGACAUCCCAUGCGAAAACCAAUAGGAUUUGUUGGGCCAUCGAACACUAGUUUCUGGUUUCUCAAGACCUUGAGGCAAGGGCAGUUAUGCAACAUUUUCUCAAUAUUGAAUGUGCAUUUUUCCCGCAUUUUUUCGAUUCCACUUCUGUAUCAGAAAUUAGUGUCAAGGGAUGGAGUUCCUGUUUCGUUAACUAAGUCUCGCGUUGUUUGCUUGAGGAAGGGACGGUCGUAGCUCAAUUUCCAUUGCUAAUCUUACAUGUUCCCACGAACAAUAAAGAAAAGAAGAAAAGGCUAUUCCUUAGACACAGAGGUGGGAUUAAGGCGUCAUGCGGAACUCCAACAACAUAGACCAGAUGACUUAUUUAUUGAAAAUAGGUUUAGGAGCCUGAUCCUGGAGCUGAGCAAGCAUGGGCGCGAUCCACAUCGAGUGGAACUACUAUCACUAUAUCUGUGGAAGGAAGGUGGAACCUUCACCGAAUCAUAGUUAGGUGGCACCCAUUCCGCAGUGGGCCGACGUCACACUGUCGCUUCAAUAGCUAGCGGGUAAUAAUCAGAAAGUGAAUCAUCAACCACUCAUUUAGAAGCCGCUCAUGCAACAACGUUUAAGUAAAUCCUUCCGCCCUUAUUUUCUGUAGUCUAGUUGUUGGAGGAAAUGCGCCUUGAACACAUUACGUAUACUAGCUGAGCUUUGUCCCUAAUCGUGACUAGUUGUUAUUAGUUUCGAUCAAAUUUCCCCCCAGCCGGCAAUGCCUCAGCUUCUAAAAAUCUAGGAAGCUCUCAAAAAAGUCAUCAUUAUGAAAAGAUACUAGCGCUACUAAUAAGGGAAGCGACUUUUUUCUAAGAAAGGAAUAAAGCAGAAAACUAAAGAAAGAGAUCUUAAGUGGGUCCCGCGAGUAGUUUGUCUUGUUUCAGUCCGUACAAGAAGAUACUUUCAGGGUUGCCCAAGAAGGGACGGGCCUAUCUAUUGGUGGUACUAGUUCCGCGGGAGGGGCAGGAUUUCGGUGCCGUCAGCAUGGGUCCGGCUAUCGAUCACAAGGGUCUAGAUACGGGUCUCGAACGGAAAAGUAUGCUACAUAUUGCUCUACUCUAGUUCCCUCUGCUUACACCUGGUCAAUUCGUUGAUCGCCCCUUUUAUUUCUGAUUUUCAAAAGGGCCCCGCUCUCGUCUCUGCUGACGAAGCCUUUAUCUCUGUCUCUGUUAUCCUCGUACCUGCUGAUCUCUUCGACUGAUAGAGUCUAUGCUAUUGGUGAAGCUGGUUCUACCUCAACAACAGGAUCUGCAAAUGGAUUUUCAACUAACAGCCUCUGCUUCAAUUUGUGAUGAAAGGUCGACUAGUUUUCACCGAAUCUUCAAUUACGCACCGGUAACUUUUUUCCAUUUCCGAGGUCUAGAGGGGAAGACGAAGUACAUCCUAGUUCAGAGAGUCACGAUUGAAUCCAGGUUAAUUCAGCAGCAGCUAGAGCAAUACUCCGAUAUUGAUUUGAUUCUCCGCUACCCACCAAGGUAGAAGACUGCUUGAUCCGCAAAAGAAGUAUGCUUUAUUUGCUUAUAGAACAAAAGUAUACGCUUUUUCAGGGAAAGAUAGAGGGAAUAGGGCAUUCAGCAGUUUGAAGAGGUAGCCUUUUUUAGUAGCAGUCUUGUAAGCAAGCGCCGUACGUUCAAUCUAUACUGGCGAGAGUCUUUCCUCUUAUAAAGCCUGAGCGCGUUGCAUGACUUAAUGCCAGCUCUUUAUCAUACAUCUUCUGUAGAACCAAUAAAUAUAAGGGAUAUGUGUUAGCACAUCUUGUUCGUGCUCUGCACCAUGUUUUUCCUGUAUACCGGCAGCUAGCAUCCCAUCAGUAACCUACGGGCGAGAUUUCUUGAGGGGGGCUGGCCAUGGUUUUUUAACCCACCCUUUCAUUCACUUAAGACCCAAAGCAGAAAAGGUUUGCAAUCCAUAUACAGGAAUUUGGUUCCACCGAAGUACAAGGACUAAACUGGUCGACUCCACCGCAGGGUGCGAGAUGUUGAGCUUCCUCGACGCCUACUCUGGGUAUCAGCAAGUCUAUAUGGCUGAGGAAGACAAAGAAAAAACGAGUUUGAUCGCCCCUUCCUUCUGCUACAAGCGGAUGCCCUUCGGUUUGAUAAAUGUCGGCGCCACAUUUAAGCGCCUAAUGAGCCUCAUCCUCAGGUCUCAGUUGGGUCGUAAUGCAGAAGUGUACAUUGACGACGCCGUCAUCAAAAGCCGCUUGGCAGGGACUCACCCCAAAAACACCUCUUUUUUUGCAUCUGCUGAGCAGAACCAAUUACCAGAUCCUACUUCUAAGCUCUAUGCUCUACUUCGGCCUUGUUCUCACUUAUGGGUAGGAAGGACAAUAAGCAGGAAUUCAUGUUGGCUAACUAUUCUAUCCAGGCAGAAGUUGUUUUCAUAGGAAAGACGGAAGGUUUUGCGCGUUGGUUGUAUCGAAUUUCCCUUUCUAAUAGCAUACACAAAUAGAUAAAAAAGUUACGACGAUGAUAAGGUAAAUGAAAACCUUUGAUUUACCUUACCAUCAGUUCUGUCUUAUCUCUAUGCCUCCUCUAGCCAUUUCAUAAUUGGAUAUCGUCAUUCAAAUCUGUUAUGACAACUGUUUGGUAAGCAGGGAUUCGAAUCAAACAAUAAAUACCAACUCUAAGUGUGAUGGAUAGUACCUGGUGCCUAAUUUCAUGGUAUCUUUCUUGGCGCCUACCACAGGAAAACCCCUCCUUCUUUUGGGAGGAAAUCAAAUGAGUAAAGGUUUCUGCCGACUCCCCUCAAGGAACCACUCACUACUCAACUUGAAACCACAGACCUACGUCCUGCUUUUUACUUUCUUCUUUGUCCCAAUUCAUAUCGAGCAUGUCUUUCUCCAUCUAUAGAUAGAGAGAAUAUAGGAUAGGGGCGCUCAAAGCAAAUAGGAUUCUGUAUCAAAUACUAAUAGGUACUAACCGCAUUCAAGAUUGACUUGACCUCUUAUUUUGGAUAGGCAGAAAUGCUUACGCCCUAGGGGUUUAAAGGGCCCACUCCCUUUGGUUGACUCAUCAGGCUCACCACCUUUUGGAGCUCAUCCAACAGUCAGUCUACUUAAUCGUAAUCAUAAUCAAUCCGUUGCUAUUGCUAUCUAUCGCCAUACCCACAAGAGGGUAAUUUAUCCAACUCCCCAUGCGAAAGCAAGUCCCACGUCAGCAGUGAUUCGAGUUGUUCCUUGAGAGCAGGCUUAUGGCAUUCCAGGUAAACAUAACAAUAUGAGAGAGAACUCCGUUCGGCUUAUAAGUACUCGAUUGAACCAAUUGUUUUUUCAUUUCCCAGUAGGUCACCUUGGGCCAGCUGCUGACUUUCUAGAAAGAGACAAGGAAGUCGAUUCAACAUAAGGGAAGAAAGCAUAUUUUAGGUUUACUCCUUCCAUGUCUAGUAGGAGUGCGUGCUUCUUAUUGCCUUUCGAGCAGUAGUUGUAUACAUUCCUCACUCAGUCUAAUUAAUUAUCUUUCUCCCUACCCAAAUACCAAGGGAGGUUUAUGAGUCGUAUCCUCCUUACGAGAUAGCGGAAGUAGCAUUAGCGGGAAAAGUAAGCUCCUUUUCAAGCCUUCUCUUUCGUAACCUUUGAUUAGUUCCUUAGAUGCCCUUAGCAAGAAUGAUGCAGGAGCAAGAAAGUCUAUUUCCUCUGCCUUUCUAGAAUAUAGCUAUUCAAAUAGAACAGUAUAAAAUGCAAUCCAUAAGUCAUGCUGGUCAAUCAAUGACAAUGAUAAGCUCUAUAAAAAAAGAGUCUAUUGCUCUUCGACGCUUUAUUGGAGUUAUCUGACGCCAAGGAGGAAGGAAUAGAGAUUAGGAUCCUAGCCUUGUUCUGUUUGAAGUUCCUAAGAGAGGAAAGGGAUGCUCAAACCAAGGAUUUGGAGUCUUAUUAGUGCAUCAAUCUACAGAAAGGUAGGGGGGCAUACCUGUGUGAAAAUGGAGUGUAAAGAAUAUUCUAGAUAUUUCACUUCGAAUUUCUUCCUCUUAAAAGAGUCAAGUCCGCAGGGUUCCCUAAAUUCCCCAGGAAUCAAGUGGGACCGGGAGAUCAUUGUUCAUUCGCUGGUUGGCCCUCCCCCUAAUAAGUACCUACCAAGAAUUGGGCCAGUUAGUUCAAGCGGUACCGAAUCACAAAGAACAGUUGAGUUUUCUAAUUCAUCUAUUAUUCUAUUUUUUGCAUUUCUAGAAUAGCGUUGGAGCCGGGACACACAUUUCUGCCCGAGUUCCAACAGAAAACCAAAUACGUUAUCGUGGAAAACGAGUUUCGCCAACACAGAAGAGUUUGUGUGCGUUUUAUUUUCACAUGAGUUUGACAUAUGUGAUGGUUGGUUGGGAGGGUACGGCAAAUGACUCUAGAAUCUUUCUGGAUACAACCACUGAACCGGAAAAUGGCCACUAUCGUCACCGAGAAAAUACUAUCUUGUGGACUCAGGCUCUACGUUUAUGCCUUAAGGUCUUUCUCCUUACCAUGGGAAGCGGUACCACUUGCGUGAUUCUAGAGAAGAAGGUGGUGUCCCGACCACAAGGCGGUUAAAUUCCACUGGUGCUUGCUAGCCAGUCAAGAACGACUCGAAGACCGUGGGAAGGUCUUCACGCCACGCCGAAGACGACGAUGGCUCCAUACCGGGUGGUAAUACAUAGGUAUAGGAUUUCCUGUAAUGAUGUGAAACUGUAUAUUUCAGAGAAAUAGCUCAGUUCGAGAGGAAGGCGGAAACAGUUCCGGUUUUAUUAACCUGAUUCCUAUUCAUUUACCGGUAAAGGAAGGAAUUCUUAUCUAUUUCUCGAGGCAAUUAUACUCAUAUCGACAAUAUGAACUGCAUGAGAAUUAGCAUAUAGAAAGAAAGCUUUACCGAAUAUAGGUCUAGUAGGUAUAGAGCCGUAAGCGUGGUGGGGGUGCCGGUGCUUAGGCAGAUGCCCCAUUGUUCAUGAUGUUGCAAUGAAUCCAGUGGAUCAUCCUCAUGGAGGAGGUGAGGGGCACACGAAAGGAGGUAGACCUUCGGUGUCACCUUGGGGAAAGCUCACCAAAGCAGGAUUUCGGGCAGUAGUAGGGGUGGUGAAACUUUAGAUGUCAAAUGCCACCAAUUUUUCUGCUCAAGUUAGAACGUAGUUUUUCGAAGUGAAUUGGCCAGUUCCUUUUAAAAGGAGACUGGUUUCUUUUUAUAAGCGAUUGGCUUCACUUUAGAUUUUUUAUCGUAAUUUCUCUUUGAUUUAUGGGUUGUUAUUUAUUAUUUCGAUUUUUGAUAAACGAAACGAAUCCAAGCCCGACAAGUAGAAUUCCAUUCGGUACCUUUGGGGUUUUCUCUUUCCUUCUGGAUGACGACGUCACCGCGUCUCCUUAUUGUUAUUGCGAUGGUGACGAGGAACAAAGGGCCGGGGAGAUCAUCGAAAUUACCUCUAGCCCGGAGCCAGAGGGGGUCGUCGACACAACGCCAACCCUGGUGGUGGGGCACUUCGAAGGUCUGGAGACCCUCCUUGAGAUUCCCCCUUUACCGGAAACGCCACCCGCAGGUCCUUCCUUAGCUCCAGAAGAAAGGGAGCAAGCCCCCUCUAUUGGCCUAAACCUCGAUCCAUCCCAGAGUAGCCGCCGACUGGACGGCGGCGAACGGGGGGCAAACUCCUCAAAACGAAGUUCUACUUUGUCUUUGGAAGAAUUGGAAGAAUCGGACUCUAAGUUUAAAGUAGGAGUAGAGUCUUUAGAGGCUCGCUUAGAAGGAAUAAAGAGAAAAAAGCAACUGCAAGCGUUCGGGGCUUCUCCUUUUGAGACCGUGAAAGUAGAGCUGGUUACGUCCAUUGGGGAAAAUUCCCAGUUUCGUGUGGGACUGCUUUUGUCUCUGGAUGUCAAAUGCCCCUUGACGGGCAAACGGGAGGCUCUCGAAAAGACGAUAGAGGCCAUCUUGAAAUGCCAAGGGAAGCCCACAGACUCCCUAGCGUCUCUACUCGACCUAAAAUGCGAUCUCGAGGACCCCGAAAAACUCGAGACCGCUCUCCGUCCAUAUUUAGGACGGUUAGGGCGAUUUUUUAAGAAAUAAAAACCUUCUGUCGAUUUAUCCACACUUCCAUGUCUUCUAGAGGAAAGCUAACUGCUUGCUGGCUGGGAGCUGUAUGAGCGGUAACGUCCACGUACGGCUCCGUGAGAAGGUGGACGGAAAUGGCCUUGUUGUACCUCACUCCCGUCUUCAAUGGGGUCUGCUCUUUUUUUAGGAGAGUAUGCCAAUAUGAUCUUAAUGAGGUGCGGGGCUUUGCAUCUGACAUUCGUUGGGCUUUCCUCUGCGGGAGCCCGCGUCCCGGCCUUUUUGUGCAAUAAACCCCUCCGGCCGAAGACUAGUGAUAGGUGGUCCCGCGGAGCUUUCGGAGAAGGGUAGCCUAGUGUGUAAGCACAGCAAUGAACUGCGGCGAACCCUCAGACGACCCUCUAAGAUAAGGGGGGAGAUCCUCAGUAGUGGUGACCCUUUGACUCUUCCACUGACUUAUAUAUGUACCGAAUGCUCAUACGGGAAAGUGAACUCCUGGGUUUGGAACCUGGGGGGGUUGAUCCGAUAAAAAAUCCUUUCUUUCUCGUCCACUCUAGGGGGUGCGGACACACCUGCGCGGAUUACAGGUGACGGUUACAAGAAUGGCGGGGAAGUGAAGAGUACCCGACGACAUUCAGGGAUGAAUGUAGACCCAUCGGGCGGGGAUAAUCAUUCCGGUCCUAGGAGAGGUGGCGACACCAGUCUGAGCUGAGGGAAGCCAGCCAAUUGAGUCACUGAAACGACCGCAGGAGGCACACCCUAAGCCCAGCUUUUCGGAGCUGCUAUUGCGAAAUACGGCUUCCUUAAUAUCCAAAUUUCAACAAGGGGGCUGGGCUGCUCGCCUUCAUAGAAAGGCGACCGGGCCUAGAUUAGAUGUUCGCCUUUUUAUAGAAUAGAAAGAGAAGGUAAAGGGGGGGGGUUGGAGAUUCUUUCAAGAAUGCAUGGCCUCCUCCUAUUCCGCUUCAACAGAAGCCCUUAAAAUCCUGCUGCUAUGGCAGCAAGGGUUAUCCAUUUCAUAGGCGGGGGAGGGGGAGAAGCAAGCCGAACCUCUGAUCGACCCGGACACGUCAAAAAUUCUCGGCGCCGAGAGAAAGACGAGAUUCAGUAAGUAAUUCAGUGAGUGCUUUCUUUUAUAAGAAGAGCGUCGGCUUGGAAGAAGAAAAUGAAAUAUGAACAACCACGCUGGUUGUAAUAGAUCGACUUGAAUGCGUCUUCUUGCUCCAGCAUUCAAGUUCCAUUUCAACGGAGGACGACGUACCAUGAUACUUUCUGUUUUGUCGAGCCCUGCUUUGGUCUCUGGUUUGAUGGUUGUACGUGCUAAAAAUCCGGUACAUUCCGUUUUGUUUCCCAUCCUAGUCUUUUGCGACACUUCUGGUUUACUUAUUUUGUUAGGUCUCGACUUCUCCGCUAUGAUCUCCCCAGUAGUUCAUAUAGGAGCUAUUGCUGUUUCAUUCCUAUUCGUGGUUAUGAUGUUCAAUAUUCAAAUAGCGGAGAUUCACGAAGAAGUAUUGCGCUAUUUACCAGUGAGUGGUAUUAUUGGACUGAUCUUUUGGUGGGAAAUGUUCUUCAUUUUAGAUAAUGAAACCAUUCCAUUACUACCAACCCAUAGAAAUACGACCUCUCUGAGAUAUACGGUUUAUGCCGGAAAGGUACGAAGUUGGACUAAUUUGGAAACAUUGGGCAAUUUACUUUAUACCUACUAUUCCGUCUGGUUUUUGGUUUCUAGUCUGAUUUUAUUAGUUGCUAUGAUUGGGGCUAUAGUACUUACUAUGCAUAGGACUACAAAGGUGAAAAGACAGGAUGUAUUCCGACGAAAUGCCUUGGAUUCUAGGAGCCAUAUAAUGAACAGGACUAUUUCUCCUUUUGGCCAUAGCCAUAGAAGAAGCUUCUCCUCCGGAGCGGGGGGACCGCCUGACAAUUACAAAGAAACCUUUAAAAUGUGGAUUUAGUGCCCAGAAUAUAAGGAUUUCCCUGGCUUAAAAUGCAAGAUAGACAGACUUCUUGCAUUCCUUGAGCCUGGGGAGAUCCUAUUCAUGGUAAACAUGUUCCCCCGGGACUUUCCUCUGCUCGAGAUCUUAGAACCCCAGGAUAUCCGAAAUAUAAUUGCUCACUCGCACAAGCAGUGGAAGCCACCCAAAAAGGGAGGCUAGUAAAUUUUUUUGGUAGGUUUGUAUUGUUUCUCGAAUUGGUAGGUUUCUCGAAGUUGUUUUAGUAGGUUUCUCAGGAAAUAGAGAUGCCGAGGCCCCUACUUACCUUAUGGGUAGGUAGGGGGAAGGAAGAGUGGGUCAGAGGGCUUCCUUCACAGUGCAUACCUCUCUUUCUCUUCUGAGUUUUUCUGGUCACGCAAGAUCUUUGGUCUUCCCCCCGGAACCGAUGAAAAAGCGGGUCGCUUCUUAUGGACUCGCUCAGAAUGAUUCUUUUAUAUCUAAGGAAAGGGGAUGACAUUAUCGCCAUUGAUUGAAUUCGUACGUCUAUCGCUAUCCCGGGCCGAGGAGAGGGGGUUUCGGAAGGAGGAAGGCUCGUUUCAUUAUCGAAUAUCGUGUAGAACUCACUUGCCCUGCCUUUUGCUAGGAGAGUGUAGUUCGAGCAUUCUAUUCUGUGCUCGAUCCGUGAUACGCAAAGCAAUCUCCUGUUUACUAUUGAUCUAAUGACAGUUGAUUGAGACUUGCCAUUGUCGUCUUUCGAAAGCGAAAUCUUAUCUGGUUGCACUCGGGUUCUCCUGUCGACUUGUUUUUCAAUAGUAAAUCACAGGCAGUAUGCCAUAUUUGAAAACAUGCAAUGAGGGUACGAGCAACACUCCCCAAACUUGGCAUGACUCAUCGCCAUCUUGUAUUCAUGAUCUUACCUCUAUUGGUCACAAAUGCAUAGCAUAGGAUCGAGUGGAUCGGCACCCAAUAGGCCAGAUUUUCAUAUCUUUGAUGUUAGAAGUGAUUCCAAUCUAUUUUUCUAUAGUGAUAGUUCACACAUUAGCAAUUACCACUGCCUCAAAGCAAACAUAGGAACUAGGGAGUUCAUCGAGAGAAAGUCCCUUUAGUUUCGUACUUCCUUGUUUCGGAUUUGCAUAUGUCUUUAAUCGCAAUAGUUGUAGAGAAAUCCCUCAAUCACGGGACAAUCCUCCAGGGCAAAGGUACUUCCAAAGCUCAGAAGGUUCAUCUGUGCAUGAAAGGAAUGAAACAAAUUCCAUAGAAAAAAUAGGAAAAUCCCCACCGAGAUCGGUACCUAUCUAGAUCCCCAGCUUCGACAACAAAACUCCUUCGCAUUUUGCGACCAUUCCCGCGAGGACUACGAUUCGGAUUAUCUAAUGUCAUCCCCAAACAGAAUUACACCUCUUAAGAGGAAGGGACGGCCCUCUAUCCGGUGUGGGUUCCUACGAAUUAUUGUAUGGUUCCAGAUCCAGGUCCCUCUGCCCUUGCUUUUUGUUAUUCCAUAGGGGUAUGGAUUGAAGUAAUCACUAAUCCAGGAAAGAUGGAUCUUUAGCUAGAAAAACGAAAAGCCAAUACGCCAUGUAUCAAAACAAUAGGGAUAGGGGUAGUUGUAUACCACCUACGAAUAGGAAGAUCCUGGGUUUUGUAAGAAAACUACGAAUAGGAAGAUCAUGGGUUUUGUAAGAAAACUACGAAUAGGAAGAUCCUGGGUUUUGUAAGAAAACUACGAAUAGGAAGAUCAUGGGUUUCAUCAAUUCUAAGCACGGUAACGGCAGUGCUCCUAUCCAACGGCCGGGGAUCUAUUCGAUUUCUCAAUUUGCUAAUGCCGAUAAGCUUAGGUUGUUAUUUCAUCGUUUUGUGCUAAAAAGGCACCCUCCUAUUAUGCUAACAAAGGGACGGAUAACGGCAAAGCAGAACAGCAAUAGCGAAAGCAGGUACAGUAAUUGUGCAAUCCCUAAAAAAGAAUCAAAAUAGAGAAAUUUAGAGCGCUGCAAAUUUCCUUCUUUUGAUAAUGCUACCCACACAGUCACGGCUCCUAUCCGGUCACCGGGUUAAACAAUUGAUUCCUCUCAACGCAUCCCCGCGGUAAAGAGCUAGUCGUAUUCUUUUGAGAAUUCUCUAGUUGUAUUCAAGCAAGAGUCCUCGGCAUCCUACGAAAACAAGCGCUAGGAAUAUCAAUAGCGUUAGCGUUAGCGUCCUGGCCUUUGCUUGGGGAUUCCUCUAUGGAAUUCCAAACAUGCCAUUGCUUUGCCUUUGCUCGUCCCUUUGAUUCAAUCCUUCUUCUCCUCGAAAGCUACAACUAGAAAAUAUAUUCUUCUUUGCCGGUGCGAACCCUUCUUUUGAAUAACAACCAUUGGCAAGACCAGCGAAAUCCGAAUACUAAUCCGAGGAAAGCCCAUCCCUACUUCCCUUUGCUGUUGUUCCUCGAAAUCCUCUACUAGUCAUUGGUUUCAAAGCAAAGGUAUCCGGUAUAGGGGGUCGUGGGCAGGUUAGUGUUUCAUUUCGAUAGGUGAUAGUGGUAUACCCAAACCAUAUGGUAUAGGUCUUGGAAAGGAAAGUAAAUCAAGUCCAUCUUACAGGAUUUCUUCACUUGCUUGGGCUUAAGCGGUACCAGUACCCGGAGAAUAGUUCCAUUCUCUUUCUCCACAUGACACCCUUGUGUUGUCAAACUAAUGAAUCCCUCUCCGCCCCUGCUCCGACAAAGCAAUAAGCACUAGGGUAUCCACCCACCCGCCAGUUCGGAUAGCCGGUUUCCUCCCCUUCCUCUCAAGUUAAAGGUUCUGGGCUACGGCUUCCGGUUCCGUAUUCCGAUUCGUCUUCGGAUAGCAUUAGAAAAUCCCUUUCAUGCCUUGCCAAUACAACUAUUAUUUUUCUUAGCCAAGGAGCCUUUGGAAGUACCGUUGUUGGAUCGGAUUGAGCCAUUAUUGGAUCGGAUAAAGAUUCACUCUUUGCCAAUGCCUGCUUCCUUGGUUUCCUACUUUCUGCAUCGAAAGUGACUUUUUGCUCAGUAUCGAGAACCACUUCUUCUCCUUUUCGAGGCGUAGAUCGCCCGUCAUCUAAUUUGCUUCGUCAAAGCGGAUAGCAUUAUGGAAUUGAUUAUAUUCGUAGAAAAAGCACCCCUAUUUAAUAAGUCCUCGGAAAUGAUCUCAUCCAGUACUUCUCUCAGCCUAUUUGCCAAGACUUUGGAGCAUAGCUUGUAAAUGACAUUGCACAAAGAUAUCGGCCUAUACUGUGAGAUUUCUUGGGGGUUCUACUGUCAGCAAGUGCACUAUUAUUUACUUCACCGCGUACUUAAAGAAUUUUUGGUAGCAAAGAACAACACCUGAUAGAAAGGAUGCUAACCAAGCCUCUUCUGUUUAAGCAAGGCUAAGCCAGAAUAAGGGGUACAGUAGGCUGGUGACCCUGACAAUAGCACUAAGACUGCCUCGGGAAUCUCCUCAAUCAUUGAAGAGUGCCUCGGGAAUUGAAUAAAAGCACUGAUAUCCAUAUAAUCCUACAAUUAUGCUCUAUUCUCUUGAAGAGAAGACACUUGAACUUCGUCAUGUGCUAUUGAUCCUUUUGAACCUAAAUUCACAUUGGCUCUUUUGGCAUACAACUUUUGUUUUUCUGUGAAAGUCCUCCUUCCUCUGGACAAAGAUUACAUUAGAGGUGCCUCGACCCGAAAGAGCAUGAUACAAUCAAUUAGGACGUAGCUCUGCUACAAGAAAGGAUAGGACUUUUGCCAAGUCUAGAGUUCGACUUCUAAAAAGAGAAAGCCACUAACAAAAAGAAAGAAAAGAGGAGGAAGCUGGACUUACCUCUGUUCGAGAUACAAUGAAACGAAUAAAUAAGUCUUAUGGAUGAAUGUUGAAGACGGACGAUACAACCCUACUAAAAGUCACAAAGCUCACUUCGCUAUCAGGCCUACCAGCUGCUUCAUAAUAUAGGUGAGAUAGAUUAAUUGAUUGUUUCUUUUUUUGUUAUAGAAUUCUAAAUCGAGCAUUAGUUUGAACGACAUAGAAAACUCUUUUCCAACUAAGCACUCUUGAGCAUCAAGCAAUUAUAUGGCUUGGAUUCGGUCUGUUCCAUCUUUUACCUUUGGAAAAAUAAAGGGAUUGGAGCCGCAAAUCCUUGUUGAAGAGGAUAUCGAGCACAAGAGUGAAGAGUGAAGAGUAGAGGGCGCAUUGGAUGUGCGCUCCCUAUGAACGAUGUCCCACUAGAAAUGGAUCUUCGGAAAGAAGAGUGUUUCUCUUGAUAUUUCUAUUAUAUUCUAUUUCUAUAAGUGAAUUAUUGAUCAAGAUCAAAUGGAGAAAAUGUAGAUGUGAAACUAUGUUCUUUGAACACCUUCUUCCAUGCUUUUGAAGCUGGCAAAUAGGGGAGUGAGUGAAGAGAGAAGCCAUGCCUCUUUCAAUGUGAGGCAAGCGAUGAACGAGUAGAUGCUGCCCUUAGACCAAUUUUCUCUUUCGGUAGCUGACACCGAGAUGGGCUAGGCUAGGAAACCUUAUUCGAGACGAUAGGGAUGGUAAACAAAGCGAUGGGGUAUACGUACGAAUUGGAAUACAAAUGAAAUCAUUGCCUAUAAAGAUGAACCCGUUAGCGUAUAGGAACAACAGCAUAUGAAAGUUGGGCGGAUACUCCUAUUUAAUUGGUUUAACCAGAAACAGAGGAUAGGAUUCGAAAAGUCAACCGAAAACUGAGCCCUAACCUUUAAUUGAUGAGAAUUUCCAUACCCCUACUACUCGUAUGUAUUGGCGUGGGUUCGUAUGUAAACAUUCGUAUUGGCUUAGCAGAGCACUUCGUAUCCCGCCACAACCGAUCCUUUGCUUCCUUCUCACUCAGCUUUUUGACUCAACAGUCGUUCCCCCUGUUACACAAAGCUACGUAUACAGGGGUAGUUGUUCAUCCCUUUUGCUCGUGACAUAUCCCCUCGCUCUGUCUUCUAUUCCUUCUGUGCGUUACGUUACUAAGGCCAUCGGUCUUAUGGAAAGAGAAGGCAUAUAAUCGAUUCUUUGACCGGCUUUGCUUCUUUCGUGAUUCACGUAGAUUGGAAUUCACUUUCUUUAGGGCAUGGCUAGUUUCGGGUUUUCUAAAACCAUCACCCAACUCUUUCUUAUUCAGACACGCCAACUGAUAUGUUGGAUUAACAAGCUAGGGAAUAAUUGGGGCUUAUGUGGACCCCUUCCCUUUAAUUUAAGAAAGAGGUCUUCCUAGCUGACUUGAAACUAGAUCUUCUUCCGAGUUUCGUUCUCUAUGGCUUGUGAAUUGCUGUGCUGCCUGUUUCACUCUCUUCUAAGGGAUCUCCUCCUAUGGAGGUAUGUAAAGUGGGUUCUAUCGCAUUUUCCAUCUUAGGGCGAGCAAUAUAAGCAAUUCUGGUAUCAACAGAUACAUUGUUUGGGAAAGAAAGUGAAAACAAUAGAUCCAAUUCUGGGUUUUGGGGAUGGAUUUCUCACAACCCUGAGGUGCUUGCUAAUCUCUCGGACAAGUCGAUGUCAAUAGCAAUUCUGAUGAAACAUCUUAAACAUCUUUAGUGCCUUUUGCCUUUGAGCUCAAUCGAUCAGAAGAAAGGGAAUAUAACCUGCCCCUCAUUGUCCUUCAAUCAUGGUGCAAUGAAUAUCGUAGAUAGAGUGAUUUCGAUCUCAUAUAGCUAGCUUUCCUUUCAAAGUGAAACGAUUUUCCUUUUACGUUGAGAUAUUUGAAUUGGAUUUUCUUUCAUCACUACUAUCGUAACGCACAGAAAACACUGACGUUUCCGCUCGCUUUCAACCACUGCCACUUUACCUGAGCACUGUGACGCAGUCGGUCAAGUAUUGAGUUUCUGCUAGUAUAUCAAGGACUUAUGAGAACUGAAAAGAAAAAAAUGAAAAAAGGAAUUCUCAUAGUUCAUUGAAUUAAGGGAGGGCCAUUCGUGGGGGGUUCGUGGAAGAGUUGGGUUCGAUUCCCUUUAUACGCGAUGUGGCCAAAAAGAAUGAUUCAACGAAAUAUGCCAUGCCAGCAUUAAGAUUUAAAAUGUGUCGUCUACUUCCAGGAAAUGUUCGGAACAAAGAACUUUCUCUAAUCCAAUGCCGUAUUCUCCGAAGAUUGAGGAACAAGAGGAGAUCCAUUAAAAGAAAUCUUUCUCGGAGAGAAAAUCGAAACAGUAACAUCAAAUCACAAACUACACGAAAGUUGUCUCUUUAUUAUGGGGAUUUACCCAUAAGGGAGAUGCACAGAGGAAGAGAACUAACUUCAUAUAUCCCUUUUUUACUCAAUCAAGAAACAAGAUCGGACGUGAUUCCGGUUCGUCUCCAUUUUAGUGACACUCUUCCUCAAGCAAGGCAGCCGAUAAGUCAUCGAAGGGUUUGUUUGAAUAAUGGACUGGUAACCAUUACUCAUUUGAAAGUUUCCCACUGUGAUCUAAUAUCUUUUAAAGAAAAUGACGCGAGAACCCGCGGUUUUGAAAUAAGGAGAUCUUUCUAUAUCGACAUAUCAGUUGGAAAAAUCAUAGGCAAAUUCCUAUCGGUUGAUCAAUCCAUGAUGGGAUAGAAUUUGCCGAGUCAGGUCUAACUGUUGGUGAUCUCUGUACUAGAAUAGAAGCCCUGCUAAUUGUGAAGAACCCACAGCCAGGAGCGUUAGCAACUGGAUUUUACCACACUCCAUUAUACCCUCCCUUGGGGGAUGGCUUGGUGCUAAUGUAGGACUUUCGGAGACCUUCCGCUUGCUGUUUUGGUCCAGCCUGAGUGGCCAUAACUUCUACUGUGAUUUAGCUUGGCGCGGUCUUGCUCUUGUUGUUCCGUUGUUGCGCGUCCUAUUCUGAUAUUUAGGACCAAGAGGUACUGGAUUCUCUUUCGGAUAGGCCCUGAAAGGAGAAGAAAGGCUGAAAUGCCAACGGACGUCUGUCUAUUCUCUAAUUCACCCGAUCCCUAUCCGCUUUCCAAAAAGGAAGAAUGCAUGAACCACGGCAGAGGAGAAAGGACGGAUCACCUGCUGAUCUUUUACAAAACUAUGCCAGAAAGGAUAUAAAGAUUGACCGGUACAAAAGCCAUCUCCAUCAAUCUACGCUCAUUAAGGAGAGGGUUCCUUAGAGAAUAAAAUGGGGAGCGAACGAAAAAGAUGUGUGGCUGAGGUGUUGGGAGCCCCCAAUAGAGAAGGACGAUGCGGAAAGGUAUGGUGGGAAUACAAACAGGCCUGGAUAGAAGAAGUAGACGAAAGACCUCCAGGCUGUGUCGUCAUUCUCAAUCCUGAAAAGAGAGCGCACAUCCUGAGGAAGGCGCGUCAUGCAAAGGUUCCCAUUUUUUUUCCUUAGUUGACCCCGUGUUUCUAUCGGAUCCUAAGCUUCAUCGGGACAAGCGCAUAAACCAUCCCAUCCCGGUAGAGGGGACAGAGCAGCUCAGCGGGCUAAUCAGUGACCUCAUCUACCCAAAGACUUUAUUUCUGCUGUACUUUCUUAAGCAAUAGGAGCUCCUUCAUAUGCCCUUGAAGGCGGGAAUAUUGGUACUGAAACGAGGUUUAAAGGUACCUUUUCCCGUUGUCCGCUUUGCCUUCGUACGACUUUCCUUGGCAAACUAUCCCAAAAAAGGAAUGGGCUUUUUCAAAAUCAAACUUGUUGUUUACUCAUUGUGGCAAAACAAAACUCUCUUAUUUUCCUUCGAGAUGAAUACCAAUUUGAUAGAGGUGGGGCAUUUUCCAUGAGUGGAUUCGAGAAUGUGGUCCCUCCUCUCUUUUGACCAGUCCUUGGCUUCUUUGUUUGAUGAUGGCGAUAGCUCUUCUCUAGCCCGGCUAGAUAACAAAACAAUGAAAUAGCACGCCACUGUGGUGAUAAAUCUUCUUGAUGAAAUCUUACUGAUUCAACUCGUGGACCUUUUCCAAAUAGUAGUGGCCUUCGUUCGAAAGGUGAAAACAACCAGUCAAUACCUUAUUGAUUCAAAAGGGAAUGCAGAUGCAAUCUACUUGGAAUAAAGGGUCUUGGCAUGUAGUUGACUUCAUAAUGAAGAGCCAGAAGUUUAAUGUCACUAGCUUCAUUCUUACAGAAAUUGAUCAAGCUAGAAAGAAGGGAUUUCCACAAGAAUCUUCUCUUUGC